rnacentral:rRNA from 1 species
GACGAACGCUGGCGGCGUGCUUAACACAUGCAAGUCGAACGGAAAGGCCCUGCUUUUGUGGGGUGCUCGAGUGGCGAACGGGUGAGUAACACGUGAGUAACCUGCCCUUGACUUUGGGAUAACUUCAGGAAACUGGGGCUAAUACCGGAUAGGAGCUCCUGCUGCAUGGUGGGGGUUGGAAAGUUUCGGCGGUUGGGGAUGGACUCGCGGCUUAUCAGCUUGUUGGUGGGGUAGUGGCUUACCAAGGCUUUGACGGGUAGCCGGCCUGGGAGGGUGACCGGCCAAAUUGGGACUGAGAUACGGCCCGGACUCCUACGGGAGGCAGCAGUGGGGAAUAUUGCACAAUGGGCGGAAGCCUGGUGCAGCAACGCCGCGUGCGGGAUGACGGCCUUCGGGUUGUAAACCGCUUUCGCCUGUGACGAAGCGUGAGUGACGGUAAUGGGUAAAGAAGCACCGGCUAACUACGUG